rnacentral:rRNA from 1 species
GACGAACGCUGGCGGCGUGCCUAAUACAUGCAAGUCGAACGAGAGCGACCGGUGCUUGCACUGGUCAAUCUAGUGGCGAACGGGUGAGUAACACGUGGGUAACCUGCCCAUCAGAGGGGGAUAACAUCCGGAAACGGAUGCUAAAACCGCAUAGGUCUUCGAGCCGCAUGGCUUGAAGAGGAAAAGAGGCGCAAGCUUCUGCUGAUGGAUGGACCCGCGGUGCAUUAGCUAGUUGGUGAGGUAACGGCUCACCAAGGCCGUGAUGCAUAGCCGACCUGAGAGGGUGAUCGGCCACAUUGGGACUGAGACACGGCCCAAACUCCUACGGGAGGCAGCAGUAGGGAAUCUUCCGCAAUGGACGCAAGUCUGACGGAGCAACGCCGCGUGAGUGAAGAAGGUUUUCGGAUCGUAAAACUCUGUUGUUAGAGAAGAACAAGUGCUAGAGUAACUGUUAGCACCUUGACGGUAUCUAACCAGAAAGCCACGGCUAACUACGUGCCAGCAGCCGCGGUAAUACGUAGGUGGCAAGCGUUGUCCGGAUUUAUUGGGCGUAAAGCGAGCGCAGGCGGUUCCUUAAGUCUGAUGUGAAAGCCCCCGGCUCAACCGGGGAGGGUCAUUGGAAACUGGGGAACUUGAGUGCAGAAGAGGAGAGUGGAAUUCCAUGUGUAGCGGUGAAAUGCGUAGAUAUAUGGAGGAACACCAGUGGCGAAGGCGACUCUCUGGUCUGUAACUGACGCUGAGGCUCGAAAGCGUGGGUAGCAAACAGG